AGUUCGGAUUGAAGGCUGAAAUUCGCCUUCCAUGAAGCCGGAAUUGCUAGUAAUGGCAGGUCAGCAUACUGCCGUGAAUAGUUCCCGGGCCUUGUACACACCGCCCGUCACACCAUGAGAGUUGGGGAUACCCGAAGCCUGUGAGCUAACUUAACGGAGGCAGCAGUCGAAGGUAGAAUCAAUGAUUGGGGUGAAGUCGUAACAAGGUACC
rnacentral:rRNA from 1 species